UACGGGGGGAGCAAGCGUUGUUCGGAUUUACUGGGCGUAAAGGGCGCGUAGGCGGUCGUUCAAGUCGCGUGUGAAAGCCCCCGGCCUCAACUGGGGAGGGUCACGCGAUACUGAUCGACUCGAAGGCAGGAGAGGGAAGUGGAAUUCCCGGGUGUAGCGGUGAAAUGCGUAGAUAUCGGGAGGAACACCUGUGGCGAAAGCGGCGCACUGGACCACAUCUGACGCUGAGGCGCGAAAG
rnacentral:rRNA from 1 species